GUGUCAGCCGCCGCGGUAAUACGGAGGGUGCAAGCGUUGUUCGGAAUUACUGGGCGUAAAGCGCGUGCAGGCGGCCGAUUAAGUCCGGUGUGAAAGCCCGGGGCUCACCCCCGGAAGUGCGCUGGAAACUGAUCGGCUAGAGUGCGGGAGAGGGAAGCGGAAUUCCUGGUGUAGCGGUGAAAUGCGUAGAUAUCAGGAGGAACACCGGCGGCGAAGGCGGCUUCCUGGACCGACACUGACGCUGAGACGCGAAAGCGUGGGGAGCAAACAGGAUUAGAAACCCCCGUAGUCC
rnacentral:rRNA from 1 species